AACGAACGCUGGCGGCAGGCUUAACACAUGCAAGUCGAACGCGUGUAGCAAUACACGAGUGGCGCACGGGUGAGUAACGCGUGGAUAUCUGCCUUUUGGUUCGGAAUAACUCCGGGAAACUGGAGCUAAUACCGGAUGGUUCCUGCGGGAUAAAGAUUUAUCGCCAAAAGAUGAGUCCGCGUACGAUUAGCUAGUUGGUGGGGUAAUGGCCCACCAAGGCGACGAUCGUUAGCUGGUCUGAGAGGACGAUCAGCCACACUGGGACUGAGACACGGCCCAGACUCCUACGGGAGGCAGCAGUGGGGAAUAUUGGACAAUGGGGGCAACCCUGAUCCAGCCAUGCCGCGUGAGUGAUGAAGGCCUUCGGGUUGUAAAGCUCUUUUGGCGGGGACGAUGAUGGCGGUACCCGCAGAAUAAGCCCCGGCUAACUUCGUGCCAGCCGCCGCCGUAAUAC
rnacentral:rRNA from 1 species